UACUAGUAAGUUUGAGUUAAAAAUAUAAUAUUUUUGAUAAAGAAUGAAAAAUGUUUAUGGUAGAAUGUCCGAGCAGUGUCGGUAUCGACACGCUACUCUAAUUGAAGUGUCCGUGCUACAGUGUGUGAAUGUAUUGUGCCUGUCUAUUAUUCAAACUAAGCACAAUCUGUUUCCUCAAAUCUUCUGAAUUAAUCGUGCUUGAAAGUUGCUUCGAUUUUGACAUGCUUGAAAUGACUGAAGUAUAUCGAAUUCUACUGACAUAGUCAUAUAUUUCAACGUAUUAUGAUGCUUUUGAGAAAAACUCCAGAUUUGUAAUAAAUUUUCUCCUUGAAAUUCUGUGAAAGGUAAGUAGUCAGUGACGUCAAUUAGAGGAAUAUUAGUUAGCUUUGAUUAUUGCAUUGUUUAUUGGCAUUGCUGUGGAGUAACAUGCCCUUUUUGUCAUUGGCAAACUGUGUAAAUAUGUUCAUUUCCAUUAUUUAUUUCGGUUUCAUUGGCGUCAAGGCAACUGUGGAGAUAUCGACGCAAAUUGGGAUAGCCUUGGAGGGAGAAAGAGCAAUUGAAAUCUUGUACUUUGGUGUAAGAAAUUGUUAGUGUUUUCUUAUUCUGCUCAAACUGAGAUCCUCAGGGUUUUCCUGUGGACAAGAUACUCCACAUUUUUAAUGUAUUUUGGCAAGUUGAUUGUGCAAUGGGGCUAUCUACAUUCGCAGUUUGUUGGAAUCAGUAUUUCAAUUAUCCUUGUAUCCUUCAGAUUGUUAUUCUCCUGCGUUAAACAAAACCAUGCCUUUCAGCAGGAAAAAAAACAAGACUGUUUUAAGGCAGAGAGUAUGCUUACUCUUGAAUUAACUUUCAAAUAUUGUAUAUUGUUAUGUGAUUGGGACAGAAUAAGCUUCGGGAACCAUUGACAGUCAUGUUGGAAGCACUUUUAGGGUCGAACGCAAAGCAGCACAGCUCAACCAGCCAUCACUAAAAUGGUUUCAUCACAUGUUCUUCUGGAAAGGAAAACAUGUCCAGUGGCCCAGUAGAAGAGCAUUCUACGAAUACAUCAAAUUUGCUUAACACUGAAUCACAGCUGACGGAAAAUCUGCUCUCCUAUAUCAUCCAAUUCCAGCUCCUACAGGCAUGUACUCUUUCCAACUUCAGUGCAACUCCAGCGAAGAAUGUUUCGGCUUUUGACAAGAACAGGGGGAUAGAUAGAGGAACACAGGAGUACUGCCACUGGUUUGAGUAGUGGUGGAUAAGUGGAUGGAAUUUGUGAUUUCAGUGAGAGGUUGGAAGUUGAAAAUCUCAAAAUUCCUUGAGAAUUAUGUACUUCGACACAAGAAAAUAUCAGAAUUUCAUGUAGGAUUAAAGGUGGUGUCCUUGAUGACAACCUUGGACUUUUGUAGCAGAUUCAAGAAUGUUAGUUUGAGAGGUGGCGUGGACCAUUUCUACUUAAUCUGCUUGUAGUGAAAUUCCUCAUUUUUAUUCCCUGCAUUUUUUUUAGUGCUCAGUUUUAUCGUAUAAACUUUGAUAAAUUGUAAUCACAAAAAGGUAAUUUAAAUAUAUAUGUUUCCUUUAUCCUUA